UUCAUUCUUGGUUUUCCCUUACCAAUGUUAUCCUUGGAAAGUGAUCAUUAUUACACUUGGUUUUGAAGAGAUGGAGAAAAGGUGAAGAAAUAGGAAAGGGGUGGGGCAUCAAGGCUACAUUUUUUCAUCUGCCAGUUUAAUUUUGUUAUAGGGAAAUGGAGACAUUUCGAUGGCGCUUAAGAAGUUACAAAUUCAUCGGUGCAGGGGGGCUAAGUCAUCAAUGGCAUGCUAUGUCAACGUAGAGGAGCGAAAUCUUCCAUGUUCUUUCUUCUCUCUUUCAGGAAAGACACGCCAUUCUUGAUGAUGUCAUAGGUAUUGGGAUCACAUGGGCCAAUGAAGAUUUUAUUGUGUCAACCUUCAUAUCAACUGUAGUGAAGGAGGUUUUUGCAUGUCCGCGUGUUCAGGUCAGCCUGCUCAGCCCAGGUAGAGUUGUUCUUUGCCUCAGAAUUGUUGGAUUGUUUUAGUGUCCUUAAAAGCCUUCAUGUCUAUAUGGCAUUAUAGACCACCAUUUUAGAUAGCAUUUCAAAACCAGUUCCAACGUAUUUCAACUAAAAAGCAUUAUAGCGUAAUAGCAUGCCGACACUGAUAUUAAUUUCGUUUGCUUGUUUUAUGAUUGCGAUGCCAGGCAUUGCUUUCUACUUGUUGAUUUGAUUUGAUUUAUUAGUAGAAAUUGUAUGCAUGUUCUUUGUUAAACUUAUAUUAAUUUGACAUUGAUGUUGAGAUUAAAUAUUGUUAUAUGCACUCAAAGGGUAUAGAGAAAGCUUGUUAAUUUCAAUAGUUAUGUGGCUGAAUCCAUUUUUCUUUUACUCUAAUUUGAUAUAGAUUCAACCACAUACCUAAUUAAAUAUUGUUGAGGCCCAGCUGCAAUUUAAUUUUGAUGUGUUCAAUUAUAGAAAAUAUGUCCUUCUUCAUGUGUUUAAUUAGAAGGAAGA